rnacentral:rRNA from 1 species
GUUGCAGUUAAAAAGCUCGUAGUUGGAGUUCAGAGUGAGCUCAGACGGUCGGCCUAAUGGGUCAGAACUGGUUGACUCUCUCUUGUUUGUGGAUCCCGCCCGGAGUUAAUUCUUCGGAUGUGGACUCCACAUCGUUUACCUUGAAAAAAUUAGAGUGUUCAAAGCAGGCGUUUGCUUGAAUAUAUUAGCAUGGAAUAAUGGAAUAGGACCCUGGUUCUAUUUUGUUGGUUUUGAGGACCAGAGUAAUGAUUAAUAGGGAUAGUUGGGGGCAUUCAUAUUUCAUUGUCAGAGGUGAAAUUCUUGGAUUUAUGAAAGAUGAACUUCUGCGAAAGCAUUUGCCAAGGAUGUUUUCAUUAAUCAAGAACGAAAGUUAGGGGAUCGAAGACGAUCAGAUACCGUCGUAGUCUUAACCAUAAACUAUGCCGACUAGGGAUUGGGCGUGGUUUGUUCAUUGACCCGCUCAAGCACCUUACGAGAGAUCAAAGUCUUUGGGUUCCGGGGGGAGUAUGGUCGCAAGGCUGAAAACUUA